UACGUAGGGGGCAAGCGUUGUCCGGAAUCAUUGGGCGUAAAGCGCGUGUAGGCGGCCCGAUAAGUCCGCUGUGAAAGUCCAGGGCUCAACCCUGGGAUGCCGGUGGAUACUGUCGGGCUCGAGUCCGGAAGAGGAGUGUGGAAUUCCUGGUGUAGCGGUGAAAUGCGCAGAUAUCAGGAGGAACACCGAUGGCGAAGGCAGCUCGCUGGGACGGUACUGACGCUGAGGCGCGAAAGCGUGGGGAGCGAACAGG
rnacentral:rRNA from 1 species